rnacentral:rRNA from 1 species
AGGGCACCACCAGGAGUGGAGCCUGCGGCUUAAUUUGACUCAACGCGGGAAAACUCACCCGGCCCGGACACCGUAAGGAUUGACAGAUUGAGAGCUCUUUCUUGAUUCGGUGGGUGGUGGUGCAUGGCCGUUCUUAGUUGGUGGAGCGAUUUGUCUGGUUAAUUCCGAUAACGAACGAGACUCUAGCCUACUAAAUAGUGGCUGAAUUUUUAGUUCAGCGUACUUCUUAGAGGGACAAGGGGUAUCUAGCCCCACGAGAUUGAGCAAUAACAGGUCUGUGAUGCCCUUAGAUGUCCGGGGCUGCACGCGCGCUACACUGAAGGAGUCAACAUGCAUUGAAACCUAGUCUGGAAAGACCGGGUAACCCAAUGAAACUCCUUCGUGAUUGGGAUAGGGAAUUGUAAUUAUUUCCCUUGAACGAGGAAUUCCUAGUAAAUGCGGGUCAUCAUCUCGCGUUGAUUACGUCCCUGCCCUUUGUACACACCGCCCGUCGCUACUACCGAUUGGAUGUUUCGGUGA